GAGUUUGAUCCUGGCUCAGAUUGAACGCUGGCGGCAGGCCUAACACAUGCAAGUCGAGCGGUAGAGAGAAGCUUGCUUCUCUUGAGAGCGGCGGACGGGUGAGUAAUGCCUAGGAAUCUGCCUGGUAGUGGGGGAUAACGCUCGGAAACGGACGCUAAUACCGCAUACGUCCUACGGGAGAAAGCAGGGGACCUUCGGGCCUUGCGCUAUCAGAUGAGCCUAGGUCGGAUUAGCUAGUUGGUGAGGUAAUGGCUCACCAAGGCGACGAUCCGUAACUGGUCUGAGAGGAUGAUCAGUCACACUGGAACUGAGACACGGUCCAGACUCCUACGGGAGGCAGCAGUGGGGAAUAUUGGACAAUGGGCGAAAGCCUGAUCCAGCCAUGCCGCGUGUGAAGAAGGUCUUCGGAUUGUAAAAGCACUUUAAGUUGGGAGGAAGGGCAGUAAAAUUAAUAACUUUGCUGUUUUGACGUUACCGACA
rnacentral:rRNA from 1 species